rnacentral:sRNA from 1 species
CGAUUUUCGACCUGCCUUCCGCCACAGCGCAUGUGUCGCGUGUUCUCCUGGCGUAUCCCCAGUGCAGCAGAUGCUCCCUCCCUCAUCUGCAUGCGAUGCGCCCUCCUGGCCUCGCUCGCCCGUUUCGGCAAGCGAGGCUUUUU